AUUGAACGCUGGCGGUAUGCUUAAGACAUGCAAGUCGAACGGUAACAGGCCUUCGGGCGCUGACGAGUGGCGGACGGGUGAGUAACACGUGAGAAUCUACCCAGUAGCGGGGGAUAAGCGGUGGAAACGCCGACUAAUACCGCAUACGCCCUACGGGGGAAAGGCUUCGGCCACUAUUGGAUGAGCCCGCGUCUGAUUAGCUAGUUGGUAAGGUAAAGGCUUACCAAGGCGACGAUCAGUAGCUGUUCUGAAGAGGAUGAUCCAGCCACAUUUGGGACUGAGACACGGCCCCAGACUUCCUACGGGAGGGCAGCAGUUCGGGAAUAUUGGACCAAUGGGCGAAAGCCUUGAUCCAGC
rnacentral:rRNA from 1 species